AAGACUGGAGUGCAGAAGAGGAGAGUGGAAUUCCACGUGUGGCGGUGAAAUGCGUAGAUAUGUGGAGGAACCCCAGUGGCGAAGGCGCCUCUCUGGUCUGUAACUGACGCUGAGGCGCGAAAGCGUGGGGAGCAAACAGGAUUAGAUACCCUGGUAGUCCACGCCGUAARCGAUGAGUGCUAAGUGUUAGGGGGUUUCCGCCCCUUAGUGCUGCAGCUAACGCAUUAAGCACUCCGCCUGGGGAGUACGACCGCAAGGUUGAAACUCAAAGGCAUUGACGGGGGCCCGCACAAGCGGGGGAGCAUGUGGUUUAAUUCGAAGCAACGCGAAGAACCUUACCAGGUCUUGACAUCCUUUGACCACUCUGGAGACAGAGCUUUCCCUUCGGGGACAAAGUGACAGGUGGUGCAUGGUUGUCGUCAGCUCGUGUCGUGAGAUGUUGGGUUAAGUCCCGCAACGAGCGCAACCCUUGAUUUUAGUUGCCAGCAUUUAGUUGGGCACUCUAAAGUGACUGCCGGUGCAAGCCGGAGGAAGGUGGGGAUGACGUCAAAUCAUCAUGCCCCUUAUGACCUGGGCUACACACGUGCUACAAUGGAUAGUACAAAGGGUCGCGAAGCCGCGAGGUGGAGCUAAUCCCAUAAAACUAUUCUCAGUUCGGAUUGUAGGCUGCAACUCGCCUACAUGAAGCCGGAAUCGCUAGUAAUCGUGGAUCAGCAUGCCACGGUGAAUACGUUCCCGGGCCUUGUAC
rnacentral:rRNA from 1 species